UGCCAGCAGCCGCGGUAACACGGGGGGCGCAAGCGUUAUUCGGAAUUAUUGGGCGUAAAGGGCGCGUAGGCGGUCUUAUCGGUCAGAUGUGAAAUCCCGGUGCUCAACGCCGGAACUGCAUUUGAAACUGGCUAACUAGAGUCAUCAAGAGGAGAUCGGAAUUACCAGUGUAGAGGUGAAAUUCGUAGAUAUUGGUAGGAACACCAGUGGCGAAGGCGGAUCUCUGGGGAUGUACUGACGCUCAGGGUCGAAAGCAUGGGGAGCAAACAGGAUUAGAUA
rnacentral:rRNA from 1 species